AGAGUUUGAUCCUGGCUCAGGAUGAACGCUAGCUACAGGCUUAACACAUGCAAGUCGAGGGGAAACGACAUCGAAAGCUUGCUUUUGAUGGGCGUCGACCGGCGCACGGGUGAGUAACGCGUAUCCAACCUGCCCACCACUUGGGGAUAACCUUGCGAAAGUAAGACUAAUACCCGAUGACGUCUCUAGAAGGCAUCUGAAAGAGAUUAAAGAUUUAUCGGUGAUGGAUGGGGAUGCGUCUGAUUAGCUUGUUGGCGGGGUAACGGCCCACCAAGGCUACGAUCAGUAGGGGUUCUGAGAGGAAGGUCCCCCACAUUGGAACUGAGACACGGUCCAAACUCCUACGGGAGGCAGCAGUGAGGAAUAUUGGUCAAUGGACGAGAGUCUGAACCAGCCAAGUAGCGUGCAGGAUGACGGCCCUAUGGGUUGUAAACUGCUUUUAUAAGGGAAUAAAGUGAGUCUCGUGAGACUUUUUGCAUGUACCUUAUGAAUAAGGACCGGCUAAUUCCGUGCCAGCAGCCGCGGUAAUACGGAAGGUCCGGGCGUUAUCCGGAUUUAUUGGGUUUAAAGGGAGCGUAGGCCGGAGAUUAAGCGUGUUGUGAAAUGUAGACGCUCAACGUCUGCACUGCAGCGCGAACUGGUUUCCUUGAGUACGCACAAAGUGGGCGGAAUUCGUGGUGUAGCGGUGAAAUGCUUAGAUAUCACGAAGAACUCCGAUUGCGAAGGCAGCUCACUGGAGCGCAACUGACGCUGAAGCUCGAAAGUGCGGGUAUCGAACAGGAUUAGAUACCCUGGUAGUCCGCACGGUAAACGAUGGAUGCCCGCUGUUGGUCUGAAUAGGUCAGCGGCCAAGCGAAAGCAUUAAGCAUCCCACCUGGGGAGUACGCCGGCAAC
rnacentral:rRNA from 1 species